AUCGUUUUCAAGUCCUUAAGCAUGAUUAAGGUGUUCACAUGUGUGUGCGACAUGUGCCUCCAUAAAUCUUGUUAAGCAUUCAGCACAUUACCCAUCUAACA